UACGGAGGGGGCAAGCGUUGUUCGGAAUUACUGGGCGUAAAGGGCGCGCAGGCGGCUGCUCAAGUCAGGCGUGAAAGGCCUGGGCUUAACCCAGAAAAGUCGUUCGAUACUGUUGGGCUAGAGUGUGGAAGAGGCUACUGGAAUUCCGUGUGUAGCGGUGAAAUGCGUAGAUAUUAGGAAGAACACCAGUGGCGAAGGCGGCUCACUGGCCCGGUACUGACGCUGAGGCGCGAAAGCGUGGGGAGCAAACAGG
rnacentral:rRNA from 1 species